CGAAUAUUGAACUAUCUGGAUGAUUGGCUGAUAUUAGCUCAAUCACAGGAUCUGGCGACAGCGCAUCGGGACUUGGUGCUCGAUCACUUGAGGAGCCUUGGACUGUGGGCGAACCCUCAAAAGAGUGUCCUGCUACCAUGUCAGCAAAUGACCUUUUUAGGUGUGGACUAGUCCACGCAGGUUUAUGUCGCAGACUGUGGUUCAGUUGGACCUGCUCCAAAUGCGGCCAUCAAGAGCCAAAACAUUUCUUCUCACUGCCAUCCAUUCAGCAGAGUUAUGAUGACGCACAGGGGUUUUCACACUCUGUGCCCAUGGAUGAGACCCCAUUUCCUUCAAAAGGGAGUCCAGCUAGGGGCAUCUUGUCAUCACAAGACAAUAGCGACAGAUGCAUCUCUCACCGGCUGGAUGGCAGUCUAUUAAGGAAGCCUAGUUUGUGGAGUUUGGAUAGAAGUGCAUCGUGGCAAUAGAAGAAAUACAAAAUAACAAUCAAUCAGCCUUGGUGGGCAAACUUACAAAAUCAGCAGGGGAUCAAAUAAAUAUUUUCCCCACUGUAUCUUCAGUUUCACUCUCUUGUUUUAGAUGUAUCAUCAUCUGCCUUCCCCUAUAAGAGGAAACUUCCUCUUUCCUCAGUGAAGAGGUCAGAUAUUUUCUCGUGUGUCAGUCCAGUCUGAGUAUCGCUGUGAACAGAGAUGGACAGAAGUCCAGACACUCGUGUCACGAUCUGAAGCAGCAUCUAACUCUUCUGCUGGGAUUGGGCAAUUCUGGAAACUGGACAUUAGAGAAAUGAUGCCCCUCUUUGCACUGAUGCUGAUGCUGACGCAAACUGCUGAAUGUCUCUGCUGGUUAAAUCAGACUGAUCCCUGUUACGCAGCUCUGGGACACAAACUCAAUCUGGUGAUGGUGCUGGACGCUAGUAAAUAUGACAUGAAGAUACGAAAGAGAAUACACAACAACAACACAAAUGAUCCAGUUUGUAGAGUAAAAUAUGGCAGGAUGAAGGAUUGUGAUCUUUAUAGUAACAGACCUGAAGUUACAGUAAUUAAUGGGACACUGAUAAUAAACCGUGUGAUCAGAGCAGAUUCAGGGAAUUACACAUUAACACUCAAUCAUCGCUCAGACGGCACAGAAACAUCUACAGAUCUUCAAGUGAACGUUGAAGCUCCUGUUGGCUCAGUGGAAGUGUCAGUCAGCUGCUCCUCCAGUGGGGCGAUGAGGGCGUCCUGCUCCUCUGAGGGCGAUCUGCUCCUCUACAGCUGGACUCUUAAUGGAGAGCCACUGAUGGAUGGAAACUCCAGCAUUGAUCUGCAUGAGGGAACUGAUGGAAACAUCACCUGCAGUGUGAAGAACCACGUCAGUCACGGACAGACGACCAUUAGUCUGAAACCCUGUUCUGUUUUACAUGUCUCUCUGAUUGCUUUGGGCUGCGUUGCGCUGAUCCUGAUUCUGCUGUUCAUCCCUGUAUAUCACACUUACAAGAAAAAACAGGUCAAGUCGACAGCUGCCGCUGCCAAUGCAGAUGUCAUAUAUGCUUAUAUCUCUCAUAAGAAAAAGGGUGAAAAGAAGAAAACAGAAUCACUCCCGACUGCUGAUGUGGAAUACGUAGAGGUCAAACCGCAGAAAAAGAGGAAGGAGAGGAAAGAGAAGAAGGACGAAGAAGUUCAGUACGGCGAGGUGAUGUUCACUCUGAACCGCUCAAACACUCACCUGCAGCCUCAGCAUGAGUGUAUUUAUUCUCAGGUACACACUGUGUAACAUCGCACUUUCCCUGGGAAAUUAAGUGUGUAUAUUCACUUAUGUUUCACUUUGGGAGUUGUACAGUUUACAUAAAGCACAUAUCUCUUUGCAUAUGCACUGUGAAUUAUUUUGUCUAACAAGUUAAUGAUGGUACUGUAGGAAGGUAGAGCGUGAGCUUUAAAGGGAUAGUUCACCCAAAAAAGGAGCUUACGCUACGCCUACGUCAUCCGCUGGAACGCGCGUACGACAGAUUACGUAAGAGAUUAUGGUCUAUGAAGUUUUAAAUAUGGAUAUUUUUCUUACACAAACGUAUUUAUUCACUUCGGAAGGCCGUUAUUAACCCCCCAGAGCUGUGUGGAGCACUUUUUAUGAUGGAUGGAUGCACUUUACUGGGCUUCAAAAUCUCAACACCCAUUCACUGUCAUUAUAAAGAUGGGACGAGCCAGGACUUUUUUUUUUACUUAGCUCCUAUUGUCUUUGUUUGAAAGAAGAAAGUCAUAUACACCGAUGGGUUGAGGGUGAGUAAAUCAUGAGGUAAUAUUUUCAUUUUUGGGUGAACUAUCCCUUUAACGUAUGCGUCUGAGCUGAACUGUGAGAUGUUGAGUAAGCGAGACAAUGGAAAAAAAAAGGAAACUAAAUGCAUGUUAUUUUCCAUCAGACAAGCACUACUGUUUUUAGUGCUUCUCAUGUUGUUCUGCUGGCAGCUCUGACGAUAUGAUGGCGAGAAAAAGCUUAAGUGAAAGUCAGCUUUUAAUCAUGAAGAAAUUCAUGCUCAAAAGUCAUGAAAACACAGCAAUCGGGUGAUUUUGAAUUAUUAAAACAUUUCAAAGCAAUGAAAAUGCAUAAAAUCUGUAAAAUGUAGCUAUAUUAUCAUCCAGCUGUAAUCUGCUAAAUGCGACAUGAAGAUAUAAAGCUAUUAUAAACAUUAAAAUCAUGAUUUUCCGUAAACUGUUUUGAAACAAUGUGUAUGGUUGGUCAAAAGUGCUAUGUAAAUGAAACUGACUUAAUAAAGUUAUUAGAGUGAAUAUUAAUAUUAAUCUA
ensembl:lncRNA